CAGAUUCACUGUGAUGAAAUGCAGAGGUAUUGGAUAAUCAGCGUGUAUCAAACAGCUUUGGAUUGUUUUACCUGCAUUCUGCCUGUUCCUUCCGCCUGUUUAUUUAUAACAUGUCUGCACUUCUGUGGGAUUCCAUGAAAAAAGUCAUAGUAGCAACAAAGAUUUCACUGGUCCCCCCAGUGUGCACCAAACUGCCCCUGGCUUGGAGUGCAGGAUGAACACCUUCCUGCAGUGCAGACAGCCCUGUCCUUGCAGAGUAUGGACUAGGGACAGAUUGCAGCUUUUUGGUGUAACCCUCACGAAGCUGAACUUUCCAGCAUUGAAACCAAGAGCCAAAGAAGCCCAGCAGAGGAAAGGAGGAGAAGAACACAUGAAAGGCUGUAAGGAUGGGAGACAAAGUGCUGUGGGUAUUCCUGCAUUGAGUGAUGUCUCCUGGAAGCAGAAUCAGAUGUUUGCCAGUCUCAUGUCACUCUGCUGUUGAUGGAUGAGACCUUCACCCUGGCUGCUCAUGCUGGUGUUUCAUCUGCUCAGUUCUGGCAUGGUGGAUGGAGCUGAAGUGUAUUGAGGGGUUCUUAACUCUUACAAUAAUAGUAAUUAAAUGUAAUAUUAAAGGCUGGGGACUCUAAACCGGAUAUCAGCUACCCUUGUGGUAAAGCUUGACCCAGUCUCUGCCAAGGGACUGUUUCCAUACACUGUUUAAAGGGCAAGAUAAACCAGAGUAAAUAAAUAACUCCUUUGAAUCA
rnacentral:lncRNA from 1 species